AACGAACGCUGGCGGCAUGCCUAACACAUGCAAGUCGAACGAGACCUUCGGGUCUAGUGGCGCACGGGUGCGUAACGCGUGGGAACCUGCCCUUAGGUUCGGAAUAACUCCCCGAAAGGGGUGCUAAUACCGGAUAAUGUCUUCGGACCAAAGAUUUAUCGCCUUUGGAUGGGCCCGCGUUGGAUUAGCUAGUUGGUAGGGUAAAAGCCUACCAAGGCGACGAUCCAUAGCUGGUCUGAGAGGAUGAUCAGCCACACUGGGACUGAGACACGGCCCAGACUCCUACGGGCGGCAGCAGUCGGGCAUCUUGGACCCGGGCCGAAAGCCUACUCCCGCAAUGCCGCGUGAGUGAUGAAGGCCUUAGGGUUGUAAAGCUCUUUUCCCCGGGAUGAUAAUGACCGUCCCGGGAGAAUAAGUUCCGGCUAACUCCGUG
rnacentral:rRNA from 1 species